rnacentral:rRNA from 1 species
AGCCUAAACCAUAAAAACGGGGUUGUGGGAGAGCAAUAUAAACAUCGUUUUGCUAGGCGUGGCGGUGAAGUGCCGCACCCUAGGUGGUGAGAGUCCAGUAGCGGAAAGCAUCACUAGCUUGUGCUCUGACCUGAGUAGCAUGGGACACGUGGAAUCCCGUGUGAAUCGGCAAGGAACACCUUGCAAGGCU